rnacentral:rRNA from 1 species
UACAGAGGUCUCAAGCGUUGUUCGGAUUCAUUGGGCGUAAAGGGUGCGUAGGCGGCGCGGUAAGUCGGAUGUGAAAUCUCGGAGCUUAACUCCGAAACUGCAUUCGAUACUGCCGUGCUUGAGGACUGGAGAGGAGACUGGAAUUUACGGUGUAGCGGUGAAAUGCGUAGAUAUCGUAAGGAAGACCAGUGGCGAAGGCGGGUCUCUGGACAGUUCCUGACGCUGAGGCACGAAGGCCAGGGGAGCGAACGGG